rnacentral:misc_RNA from 1 species
GACAGAGGGUGCAAGCGUUGUUCGGAAUCAUUGGGCGUAAAGGGCGCGUAGGCGGCUUCGUAAGUCGAAUGUGAAAUCCCAGGGCUCAACCCUGGAAGUGCAUUCGAAACUGCGUAGCUUGAGUUUCGGAGAGGGUGGUGGAAUUCCCAGUGUAGAGGUGAAAUUCGUAGAUAUUGGGAGGAACACCGGUGGCGAAGGCGACCGCCUGGACGAAAACUGACGCUGAGGCGCGAGAGCAUGGGUAGCAAACAGG